AGCGCUUCUUAUUCACAGCAUACAUAAUCAUCCGUCUUAUCCGUACAGACAUGGAGGCCAGAGUGAUUGUAGCGGUUGUGUUUAUCUGCGCUGUUUGUCGCUUCUCUGAAGCCCAGCUGCAGAACACGACACCACUCACUAACAACAUCACUCGUACUGGUUGCGGCACCACUAAGCUGUGUGUGUCGACUCCGUCUAAUUGCGAUCUUGCAGGAAACUCCAGCUGUUAUUUCAGCUCUACUCAGUACAAUAAUGCAACACUGACCGUGGAACUCUCCGGCACGACUUCAGGAUACGUGGCAUUGGGACUCACACCCACUAGCAGCCUAUUUAAUUUCAAUGGAACUGCUGUGUUCGUCUGUGGCAACAAUAACAACAGCGCCUUCUUCGAAACAGCUAUUCAGAACGGCUCAGUGUUGACUCCUGCUAACCUGACCGCCUUAAAUAUAACCAGUGUUCAGGGUUCAGUAUUGGGAAACGGGAGUCUUGUUCAGUGUGUCUUCAAUGUCACCCUCAAUUCCACCUUCCUCAAUUCCAUCUUCCUCAGUUCAACUGUUCAGCUGUCUUCCAACAUCAGCAUCUAUAAUGGAAGCACAAAUGGAACUGAACUGGGUAUUGCAACUACACUGUAUACCUCCCCAUCAGCAGUAGACCUGUCUAAUCCUAGUGCCUUAAACACUGCAAACACCAACUUCUGCACUAAUGUGUUGGCUGUGCUGCUCGCCACUCUGACUCUACACCUCAUAUAAAAACCUGCCAUGUUCAUUUUAAUAUAAAAUCCCCAGAGCCUAUAAAUGUGUGUUACAGUAUCUGAUCUGUGCAUGUGUGUUUAUACAUUUAUGAAGCUAUUGUUAAUUGGCUGAACAUGGAACACAUCUGUCAUAUACAGUAUAAACAUCACCCUUUUAUUUAUUUAUUUAUUUUUUUUUUUACAGUCAAUACGAGAAAUUCAUUUGCACUUCCAUAGACGUCAGACUUUUAAAUAUAAAAAUUUAUAAUAACGAGGGCGCAAAUGUUUUGAAUAAAAUCUACUUUAUAUGAUCAUUUUAAUUAUUAAAUAAUUGUAAUUUCAGUAAUUUCAUGCUCAUCAUUUUUAUUUGAGAUACUUUAUACACCUAGGUGAAUGUAAGUUUCCACCCCUAAAACCUUUCUAUAUGUUUUUCACUUUUGUUGGUUGAUAUCAUACUAAAGGUAAACAAAUAUCUAACAUGACUUGAUUUUAUUUUGUUGUUUUUUAAAUAUCAUUUAAACUAUUUUAACAGGUGUGUAGACUUUUUUAUAGUCACUGUGUGAGCUGACAGCUGGGAAAAUACACACGAGUGAAAGCAGCCUUAACGGUGUAUUUCUUUCUUUUUUACAUUUGACCUACAAUGUUGUCUAAAAGCACUCAUGCCGAUUUUGUAAUGAUCUAAACUGCUAAAAUACCUAACUAUAAAAGAUUUCCAUAUCAGCAUAUUUAUACAUUGUCAUAUGUGGGUUUGUUGUUGUUGUUGUGUCACAUUAUUAAGAUGGCCCCAUUUAUAAUGACUACAGUACUGUGCAAAAGUUUUAGGCACCCUAUUUGUUGUUGUUUUUUGUACAAACUUUGUUUGCUUGUUUUUUUUUCAUUUUAUGACGUCUACAUUAUGGAGUUGGUACAAAAAAAAAAACGUUUUAGAUUCCCAAACAUUCGUUUUCUGGCACAAAAGUAAAUGUUACAGAAAAAAGUAAAUCUUACAGUUGUUAAAGAAAGCAGCGUAUUAAGAGGUAACAGAUGACUUUUCAGGCAAAAAAACCAUGACGAACGCUGCUGGGUUUCGCUGCAAAAACAAGAAGUGCGUGCAACAGUCAAAGUCUCCAGAAGGUUCUGCGAGAUGCUCAGUAAGCCAGUAGCUCAUUUCCUUAUAAAACUGCACUAAUUAUACCGGAGACUACUAUUUUUAUUUUUAUUUCUUUUUUUUGUCACUAGAUAUUGACUUUGUUUCAUUUACUAUAAUUUAUUGCUCUUUAUGGUAUUUUUUUUUAAAUGUAGAAACAUUCCAUUUCAUUAUUUUCAAGGCAUCUUUGCUCUACAAUGACAAAAAUUUUUGUGCGGUACUCUACGUCUAGUCUCACUGUCUGGGUUUCUGAUAUGUGACACACCUGUAAAUGUGCGGCUUCAAAUAACACACCUGACCCGCACAGCCAGACAUUCAAGAUCAACUGAUACUAGUGUGUUCGCGUCUUUGUUGUCUAAUCAUUAUGCUGAAGAAAUACUUUAAACAACACACCCUUAAACUAGCACACCAUACACCCUUCUCAAACACCCAAAUUCAAACUCUUCAAUCCUCACGCAAGCUGUAGUUCAUGCACAAUGUGUAGAUCAGGUUAUG
ensembl:lncRNA